GAAGGUGGAAGUAGCUGUUCUUGGCCUCUUGGGCGAAGCCCCCGCCGGCUCCUCUUCCCGUAGGCCCCCGCCGGCGACUUCUUCUCCCAGUCCAUUGCCGAGUAUGUUCUGAUUCUUUAUGGAAAAAUAAUUUUUUUAAAAAAUUUAAGGCUAACGCCGACGCUUUUAAGCGUUGGCUUUGGUACUUUUAGCGACGCCUAAAAGCGUCGCUAAAAAGCGUCGUCAAAAAUCAACCUUUUACGACGCUUUUCAAAAGCGUCGGGACAAAUUUUUUCCACUCAGGUAUAGGCAACGCUUUGGCGACGCUUUGCAUAGCGUGGGGUGGGUCUUUACCGACGUUUAUAAGCGUCGGCAAAAGAUGUAAAAAACGUCGGGAAAGAUCACUUUUUU
rnacentral:lncRNA from 1 species